GGAGUAACGCGUGAGAAUCUAACUUCAGGACGGGGACAACAGUUGGAAACGACUGCUAAUACCCGAUGUGCCGCAAGGUGAAACCUAAUUGGCCUGGAGAAGAGCUUGCGUCUGAUUAGCUAGUUGGUGGGGUAAAGGCCUACCAAGGCGACGAUCAGUAGCUGGUUUGAGAGGAUGAGCAGCCACACUGGGACUGAGACACGGCCCAGACUCCUACGGGAGGCAGCAGUGGGGAAUUUUCCGCAAUGGGCGAAAGCCUGACGGAGCAACGCCGCGUGAGGGAGGAAGGUCUUUGGAUUGUAAACCUCUUUUCUCAAGGAAGAAGUUCUGACGGUACUUGAGGAAUCAGCCUCGGCUAACUCCGUGCCAGCAGCCGCGGUAAUACGGGGGAGGCAAGCGUUAUCCGGAAUUAUUGGGCGUAAAGCGUCCGCAGGUGGUCAGCCAAGUCUGCUGUCAAAUCAGGUUGCUUAACGACCUAAAGGCGGUGGAAACUGGCAGACUAGAGAGCAGUAGGGGUAGCAGGAAUUCCCAGUGUAGCGGUGAAAUGCGUAGAGAUUGGGAAGAACAUCGGUGGCGAAAGCGUGCUACUGGGCUGUAUCUGACACUCAGGGACGAAAGCUAGGGGAGCGAAAGGGAUUAGAUACCCCUGUAG
rnacentral:rRNA from 1 species